rnacentral:rRNA from 1 species
AAAAACUCCGGUGGUAUGAGAUGGACCCGCGUCUGAUUAGCUGGUUGGCGGGGUAACGGCCCACCAAGGCGACGAUCAGUAGCCGACCUGAGAGGGUGACCGGCCACAUUGGGACUGAGACACGGCCCAAACUCCUACGGGAGGCAGCAGUGGGGAAUAUUGCACAAUGGGGGAAACCCUGAUGCAGCAACGCCGCGUGAGUGAAGAAGUAUUUCGGUAUGUAAAGCUCUAUCAGCAGGGAAGAAAAUGACGGUACCUGAGUAAGAAGCCCCGGCUAACUACGUGCCAGCAGCCGCGGUAAUACGUAGGGGGCAAGCGUUAUCCGGAUUUACUGGGUGUAAAGGGAGCGUAGACGGCGAUGCAAGUCUGAAGUGAAAGCCCGGGGCUCAACCCCGGGACUGCUUUGGAAACUGUAUGGCUGGAGUGCUGGAGAGGCAAGCGGAAUUCCUAGUGUAGCGGUGAAAUGCGUAGAUAUUAGGAAGAACACCAGUGGCGAAGGCGGCUUGCUGGACAGUAACUGACGUUGAGGCUCGAAAGCGUGGGGAGCAAACAGGAUUAGAUACCCUGGUAGUCCACG